rnacentral:rRNA from 1 species
CAAAAACAUGUCCUUUUGUUUUAUAUAUAAGGUCUAACCUGCCCGAUGAUUUUAUUUAAUGGCCGCGGUAUAUUAACUGUGCUAAGGUAGCAUAAUCAUUUGUCUUUUAAUUAAAGGCUAGAAUGAAUGGUUGGACGAGGUAUUUACUUUCUUUAUUUUAAUUUAUGAAUUUAAUUUUUUAGUUAAAAAGCUUAAAUUUAUUUGGGGGACGAGAAGACCCUAUAGAUCUUUAUAUUUAGAGUUAUUAUAUAUUUUGGUGUAUAAAUUGUUUUAAUAAUUUUAUUUAUUUGAUUGGGGUGAUUAUAGAAUUUUAGUUAACUUCUAUUAUUAUAUAUCAUUAAUUAAUGUUAUUUUGAUCCAAUUUUAUUGAUUAAAAGAUUAAGUUACCUUAGGGAUAACAGCGUAAUUCUUUUGGAGAGCUCAUAUCGAUAAAGGAGUUUGCGACCUCGAUGUUGGAUUAAAAUUAGUUUUAGGUGUAGAAGCUUAAAUACUAGGUCUGUUCGACCUUUAAUUUUUUACAUGAUCUGAGUUC